GCCAGCAUGGUGUAGUGGUUUGAGCAUUGGACUUUGACUCUGGAGGCCAAGGUUCAAAUUCCUGCUCAGCCA